rnacentral:rRNA from 1 species
UACAGAGGUCCCAAGCGUUGUUCGGAUUCACUGGGCGUAAAGGGUGCGUAGGCGGUCGGGUAAGUCUGAUGUGAAAUCUCGAAGCCUAACUUCGAAACUGCAUUGGAUACUAUUCGGCUAGAGGAGUGGAAGGGAGACUGGAAUGCUCGGUGUAGCAGUGAAAUGCGUAGAUAUCGAGCGGAACACCAGUGGCGAAAGCGAGGUCCUGGACGUUUUCUGACGCUGAGACGCGAAAGCCAGGGGAGCGAACGGG